rnacentral:rRNA from 1 species
GUUUGAUCCUGGCUCAGAUUGAACGCUGGCGGCAUGCCUUACACAUGCAAGUCGAACGGUAACGCGGGGCAACCUGGCGACGAGUGGCGAACGGGUGAGUAAUGCAUCGGAACGUGCCCAGUAGUGGGGGAUAGCCCGGCGAAAGCCGGAUUAAUACCGCAUACGACCUACGGGUGAAAGCGGGGGACCGCAAGGCCUCGCGCUAUUGGAGCGGCCGAUGUCAGAUUAGGUAGUUGGUGGGGUAAAGGCCUACCAAGCCUACGAUCUGUAGCUGGUCUGAGAGGACGACCAGCCACACUGGGACUGAGACACGGCCCAGACUCCUACGGGAGGCAGCAGUGGGGAAUUUUGGACAAUGGGGGCAACCCUGAUCCAGCCAUGCCGCGUGCGGGAAGAAGGCCUCGGUGUAACGCUUUGUCUAGGAGAAAGUACUCCUGAGCUAAUACCUCCGGGGGAGUGGACGGUACCGUCGG